GAUGAACGCUGGCGGCGUGCCUAAUACACGCAAGUCGAGCGAACUUCUUAAGAGCUUGCUCUUAAGAAGUUAGCGGCGGACGGGUGAGUAACACGUAGGUAACCUGCCUAUAAGACUGGGAUAACUCCGGGAAACCGGGGCUAAUACCGGAUAACAUUUUGCACCGCAUGGUGCGAAAUUGAAAGGCGGCUUCGGCUGUCACUUAUACAUGGAUCUGCGGCGCAUUAGCUAGUUGGUGAGGUAACGGCUCACCAAGGCGACGAUGCGUAGCCGACCUGAGAGGGUGAUCGGCCACACUGGGACUGAGACACGGCCCAGACUCCUACGGGAGGCAGCAGUAGGGAGUCUUCCGCGAUGGACGAAAGUCUGACGGAGCAACGCCGCGUGAGCGAUGAAGGCCUUCGGGUCGUAAAGCUCUGUUGUUAGGGAAGAACAAGUGCUAGUUGAAUAAGCUGGCACCUUGACGGUACCUAACCAGAAAGCCACGGCUAACUACGUGCCAGCAGCCGCGGUAA
rnacentral:rRNA from 1 species